UACGAAGGGGGCUAGCGUUGUUCGGAAUUACUGGGCGUAAAGCGCACGUAGGCGGACAUUUAAGUCAGGGGUGAAAUCCCGGGGCUCAACCCCGGAACGGCCUUUGAUACUGGGUGUCUUGAGUUCGGAAGAGGUGAGUGGAAUUGCGAGUGUAGAGGUGAAAUUCGUAGAUAUUCGCAGGAACACCAGUGGCGAAGGCGGCUCACUGGUCCGAUACUGACGCUGAGGUGCGAAAAGCGUGGGGGAGCAAACAGG
rnacentral:rRNA from 1 species